CCUUCCAUUGCACAGGGAGGUCUGAAAGAAGGAGAACCCCUGGUUUGGCUCAAAGACCAGAACUUCCAUUCAAUAUGCAGCCUGUUGCUGCUAAACUUGUCAUUUGAGUGCCAGCUUCACAAUUUCUGCCAUGUCUACAUAGUCCGCACACUCUGCUUUAUUACUUUCUUAUAGAGACAGGGUCUCUAUCUGUUGUUCAGGCCGGGGUACAGUGGCAUGAUCAUAGUUCAGGAUAACUUGAAAAUCCUGGCCUCAAGUGAUCAUCCCACCUCAGCCUCUCAAAGCACUAAAAUUACAGGAGUGAGAUACCAUGUGUGGUCUUAUAUUUUUUAACUUAAAUUUUAAUGUCAUCCUAAAUAAUAACAACCACCAUGUUAUAGGUUCAAUGUGCUCGUUACAGUUUUUCAAAUGGAUAUUACAGAAAAUGCAUACCCAGUAGAUAGCUUUUUUUUUUUUUUUGAGACAGAGUCUCACUCUGUCACCAGGCACCAGGCUGGAGUGCAGUGGCAGGAUUUCGGCUCACUGCAACCUCUGCCUCCAGGGUUCAAGCAAUUCUCCUGCCUCAGCCUCCUGAGUAGCUGGAACAACAGGUGUGUGCCACCAUGCCCAGCUAAUUUUUUGUAUUUUUUAGUAGAGACAGGGUUACACCAUGUUGGCCUGGAUAGUCUCAAUCUCUUGACCUCGUGAUCUGCCCACCUUGGCUUCCCAAAGUGCUGGGAUUACAGGCAUGAGCCACCGUACGCGGCCAACUCUUUUUUUUUUUUUAUUUUUUAAGACAAUCUUGCUCUGUCACCAGGCUGGAGUGCAGUGGUGCAAUCUCGGCUCACUGCAAUCUCCACCUUCUGGGUUAGAAGCAAUUCUUCCUGCCAAAGCCUCCCAAGUAGCUGGGACUAAAGGUUUGUGUCAUUAUGCCCAGCUAAGUUUUGUAUUUGUAGUAGAGACCGGCUUUCACCAUGUUGGCCAGGAUGGUCUCAAUCUCUUCACCUCAUGAUCUGCCCGCCUGGGCCUCUCAAUGCUGGGAUUACAGGCUUGAGGCACUGCGCCCAGCCAGGUAACUGUUUAUCUGUGUACUGCACACAUUAUGUCACCUUCCUCUGCAGUGUGCUUGCCACCCUCUGGGACACACUGCUCUAGUAUUUUGAUUUUCUUCUCCUCACCCUUUCUAAGUGGGAAGUCUCUUCUGAUCAGGUCACUGGUGUCCAGGCUGGGUGUCUGUGUUCUGGUAGAUUCCACCAUGACGCCUUCAGAGCCACACUCAGGGUGAAAAGACUUCCAGGCAAGGCAAUGAGCAUUUUCUUUCCUAAAGUGCAAGAGCAGUUCAACUGUUGCUCCUUACCAUAUCCAGGGUCUCUAGUUAAGAUUUUAUUGGGAAAAAAAGGCCAUACUGAUUAUUUUUAAAGCAUGAAAACCAUAGGCCAAGCCCAUCCAGGAUGAACACUUUGGGAACGGUCAUCUGUUUGGAUAAUCAUACAUUCACACAUUCAUUCAGUGCUUAUUGGAGCCUCCCUUGGCUCUUCCUAGCUUAGGGGUCAGGAGAGCUGGCUUUAAGCAUAGUGUGUUCAUUGUAAUGAAACAAAAAUGUGCAGCUUGGGAUGACGCCAUGCCAAGCACCGUUCCUGUUUCCUUCCACUUGAUCCAGCUUGAAGGUAAACUUUCGGUUCAAGUCCAGAAGCUGCCUUCCAAUAUCAAGCACUCCAGAAUGACCCAAGCCCUUCAUAAGGUAGGGAGUGCUGGUCAGCUUCUUUUCCCUAGGAGACAAUGAGGAGAGGAGGAUAGCAAGGGUGGCUUUGAACAGGCAGGUCUGGCCAGUUUAUCACAACACGUAUCAUAACAUGAUGACAGCACUCUAUCCACAUCACCAUGCCCCGUCUCCACAUGAUUUUUAAAAAUGUUUUUAUUUUAAUUGUUGUGGAUACAUAGUAGGUGCACAUAUUUAUGGGGUACAUGAGAUGUUUUGAUAUAGACAUGCAAUGUGUAAUAAUUACAUCAUGGAGAAUAGGGUCUCCACCCCCUCAAGAAUUUAUCCUUUGUGUUACCUACAAUAAAAUACAAUUAAAUUACUAUUGAUUAUAGUCACCCUGUUGUGCUAUCAAACAUGAGGUCUUAUUCAGUCUGCGUUUUUAUACCCAUUAACCAUCCCCACCUUUUCCCCCCACUACUGCCCUUCCCAGCCUCUGAUAAUCAUCCUUUUAAUCCCUAUCUCCAUUAAUCCAAUUGUUUUGAAUUUUUAGAUACCACAAAUAAGUGAGAAUGUGUGAUGUUUCUCUUUCUGUGCCUAGCUUAUUUCACUUAACAUAAUGAUCCUUAGUUCUAACCAUGUUGUUGCAAAUGACAGGAUCUCAUUCAUUUUUAUGACUGAACAGGUAUUCCAUUGUGUUUAAAUAUCACAUUUCUUCACUCAUCUGUUCAUGGACACUUAGGUUGCUUCUAAAUUGUAGCUAUUGUGACCUCUCUCCUGAUUAGUCAAUCAAUCAGUGCCUGAGGGCAGGGAUCCAAGAGAGUCGGUCAAAUCAAUAAUGUAGUCAUAUAGGAAACGGAAGCUUAAGUUGCACUGAGGAAGAUUUGUAUGAUAUAACAGGAAGGACUUCCCUGUGUUUGGGUGGGAAGAUAUUGCAGUAAUAAUGAUAAUGGCCACCACUUACAGAAUACUCCACAGAGAUGGACUCAUUUACCUCACAAAAGCCUUAUGAGGUGCCCCAUUUUUGUUCCUAUGGUAGUGAUGAAAUAAUUGAGGUUUAGAGAAAGAGUCAAUGUGACCUGAUGAAAGCCUACAGCUAGUAAGGAGUACAGCAGGGACUCAAACCCAGAGCCCAGAACACCAGGGUUACUUCACUCCCCAUUGUGGACACUAAGGGGAAGAAGAAUAUAAUAAGCUUCCCACACAUUAGCAGCCAAGUCCUGCUGAAGUCAUCCCUGCUGUAUCAGGCUGUUAGAGAAACAGCAGUGAGAGAAGCGUUUCCAGAAGCCAUUAUCAUAAAGCCAUAGGACAUCUUUGGAAGAGAGGAAACAUUGCUUAAUCAUUUUUCAAGUCUCAGAUGUAUCCAAAGGAAUUAUUAAUGCAGUUAAGGACCCUGAUGCCAGAGGGAAGACCUUUACUUCUGUUGGGCCAAAUCGUACCUCCUCUUUGCGCUGGUGAAGUACAUCUAUGCUGUGACUCACAGAUUAUUCCUCCCGUACCCCAUACCACGUUUUGCCUAUUGAUGGAGUCUGUUUUGUUUUGUUUUUGUUUUCUUGAGAUGGAGUCUCGCUGUUGUAGGCCAGGCUGGAGUGCAGUGGCAUGAUCUUGGCUCAUCCUGUAUCAUACCCACAGAGAGACCCUUUUUAUCUCCAGGGCUUGGGAAGCAGCCAGGUUCCAUGAGUUAAAUGCAGAUCUGAACCAUACUGAGCUGGGAUUAAAGUACACACCCUCCUCUUCUGAAAAGUGGCUAAGGAUUCCAACUUGGUGCAGUGGAGAGUGUGGCAGAGCCAGACCAGACAAGGACCGAUCACCUGGAAAAGCAUGUUGUCAAAGGCCUUGUUCUGAAGGCCAGAAUUCUAAAUUCGGUUCCACUGACUCAAGAUGGGAGCAGGGCAGGUACCUUCCCAGGCUCUGAAGGAGAAUGAGUUUCUGGCCCUGGAGGCUUCCUGGAAUCCUCAGCUUGUGCUGCCCUUCUUGAAUGACUGGAGGUACCUGCUUCCAUCACUACACUUCCCAUCGCUCUCCAUCACCUGCUCUGCUCUGGCUGGCUGCAGUCUUCGUUCCCUGCAACCUUUGUCUCCUGGGUUCAAGUGAUUCUUCCACCUCAACCUCCUGAGUACCUGGGACUACAGAGAAAUGCAAUGAUGGUAUCGCUGAUCUAUGUAAACACAUUGAAGAACUAUCUGAAAGAAAAUAUGAGUCUUCCUCUUUCACUCAGGCUGGAGCGCAGUGGUGUGAUCUCAGCUGACUGAAACCUCCACUUCUCAGGUUGAAUUUAUCCUCUUGCCUCAGCUUCCCUAGUGGCUAGGACAACAGCAAUGCAGUUUUGACAUGUUGGCCAGCCUGGUCUUCAAUUCCUGACCUCAGGCGAUUCACCUGCGUUGGCCUCCCAAGUGCUAGGAUUACAGAGAGAAAUGCAAUGAUGGUAUCGCUGAUCUAUGUAAACACAUUGAAGAACUAUCUGAAAGAAAAUAUGAGUCUUCCUCUUUCACUCAGGCUGGAGCGCAGUGGUGUGAUCUCAGCUGACUGAAACCUCCACUUCUCAGGUUGAAUUUAUCCUCUUGCCUCAGCUUCCCUAGUGGCUAGGACUACAGCGAUGCAGUUUUGACAUGUUGGCCAGCCUGGUCCUCAAUUCCUGACCUCAGGCGAUUCACCUGCGUUGGCCUUCCAAAUGCUAGGAUUACAGAGCAAAGGAAGAAUGGUGUACCAGAAUCACCAAAUUAAGAAAGACAGUAGAUCAGCUUUUCUGCAAAAAAAUUUGGAUCUUUGAAGAUCUUUUUUAAGACCAAAACUCUGAAGCACGUUCAAAUGAUUUGUAUGUGGAAGGACUACCGGAAAACAUUUCUUUCAGAAGUCCCUUGUGAUACGGAAUUCCGAGGCUGGAAAACAUCAGACAUGAACCUAUUAAUUCUACACGUGAAGAUUUACAACUUGAUAAACCAGCUUCAGGAGGCUGGAGUGCAAUGGUGCGAUCUUGGCUCAUGGCAACCUCCACCUCCUGGGUUCCAACAAUUCUUCUGCCUCAGCCUCCCGAGUAGCUGGGAUAACAGCUGGAGUUUUGCUCUUGUCACCCAUUCUGGAAUGCAACGACAUGAUCUCGGCUCACUGCAACCUUCGCCUCCCAGGUUCAAGUGAUUCUUCUACCUCAGCUUCUGGAAUAGGCGGGAUUACAGGAUAUUGAAAAACAAAGUUUAAUCUU